CGAAGUAUAGCAUAUAUAAUGCUUUUUACUUACACUAAAAAUAAAGUUAAACAACUUACUUCGC
rnacentral:tRNA from 1 species